GCCGACCCCGCGCCGGCCCGCCCGGGGGACGCCGGCCCCGCUCUGGGCGACACUGCGCGCCCCGGCUACGCGCGCCCCGGCAUCCGUGAGAGAGGCGCGCGCCCCGGCAUCCGUGAGAGAGGCGCGCGCCCGCCGCCGCUGGGGGCUCCAGCCGCCGACCCGGGACUGGCAGAGGGGACGCCGCGCCCGAGCCGCUCCUCUGGAUGGCGACAGAGACGGCCUGGCGCGCCCGCAGCCUGGGUCCCCCGCGGGGAGGACGGCCGGGCCAGGUGAAGUUCGUGCACUCGGGCCUUCCGUGUGCCCAUCCACCGCAGCCAGGGCCUGGAAGGCUGGGGAGGGGGCGGGGGCGGCAGACGCCUCCUAAGGGGGUUCUGGGACUUGCAUCCGGACUUUAUUCCAAGGAGAGGGUGCUCUGGGCCUGUUCCCUAGGUGUGCCCUGUUACCCAAAAUCGGGCUUGUGCGGUGGGGUCCCUGAGUCUACUGGGAGCACGGCCUCCGACCCCAGCAGAGUCACCCUUCAUCGGAAGCUCAGCCCCCUGAGGGCUCCUCCUCUACCCGGGGCCGCACGGCCAGGCACAGGCACGCACUUUCCCUCAGCCCUCUGCCCCAGGAUCACUCUACUCGGGCACCUCUGCCACUGCCCCGUCCUUGCUGAGCCAUCUCCUGGUUCAUCUCCUUGGAGUCCCUGCAGGACCAGCUCUCGGUGGCGUCUCCGGGCUCCCAGUCCCAGGACUGGCCCUAUCCAGCCCAGGAGAUACGCUCCCCAGUCCAGGAUGUCCAGAUGGCCCUGCUGCCUGGAGAAGCUCUGGCCCCUGCCGGUACCUGCCACAGCACCACCCCAAGCUCUCCCUUCCUGCAGGGAGGUGAUUCUGCAGAUGUUGGUGCUCCUGACAACUUUGGGGUGGCCAUGAGGGACGCACCCCUUGCCUCUGGAUGUGCAGGGUAGGCAUGGGACCCUGGCAGGGAGGGGGUCCCUCAAUGAGAUUCUGUGGAGUCAACCAUUGAUGCCCAGGUCUCCACCCUUACAAUUUCAUUCCUUUCAUUGAAGCCUUUUUUCCUGCUAAAAAGGAUGUGGUUUUUAAAAUGUUACAGAUUCCAAUUCAUCCUGUCCAUCCCAAACUCUUGUGCCAGACAUUCCUUCAUUCAACCUCUGUUUAUUGAGCACCUACUUGGGCCAGGCACUGGGACUGGGGAAGCCAACAAGACAUAGAUUUUCUGUCCCCCUGGAAAGUGACAGUCAGUUUGAGAAACAGACAAGGAAACAAACAAUUCCAGUGCAGUGUGGCAAGCGUCACGAUGGGAGGGAGAGGAGAGCACUCUUGGAGCACAAGAAAGGAGCGUUUACCCUAAAAUCAUGCUCGAGAGUGCAGCAAGGUGUGUGCCAGGGAAGGGUUCCAGGAGACUGGUUUCCAGGCCUUUUUGAUCCAUCCUUAGGACAAACACACACACACAUGCACACAUAUAUGCACAUACUCACACGAACACACACACGCACGUGAACACACGUGAACACACUCCGCACACAUGCACAUACAUGCACACACGUGCUUUAACACACAUGCACACACAUGCUUGGAGUGAAAGUUUCCGAAGCAAUAUUUACCCCCGAAAUACUCUGAUUGAUGUUUCUAUCGCAUCCUAAUUCAUUUUUGCAAUGCUGGUUGCCCUCUCAAUAAUUUGGUUUAGAGUAAUUUUCUUUGUUUAAAAAAUACGGUUUGAAGAGAGAUGCAGUCUACCUUGAUUUGGGGAGGGUAUACUGGAGCCUUCCUGCCAAAGGACAGGGGCUGUGGUGACAGCGGGGUGGCUGGGGAGGGCUCCCAAGCAGAGGAGAAGGGAUGCAGUGUGGUACCCGGCCUGCUGUAUCCAGGAACUCAGACACUGAGGUUUUCGUGGCCGCAACAUUAGGGCUAUGGCGGGGAACGUUGGGCUAUGGGAGAGCAGUGCCUGGUUCAUUACAUGCUGAAUAUUUCCAGAAAAAGGGAAUGGAAGGGGAGCCCUUGGUGCUUAUGACUUGGAGUCUAGCAUGGUGGAGAGUCUGAAAAUGGUGACGCUACAAAAGUGCGUGAGAGGACCCACUUCAGUCUGUUCGUGUCGGCACCAGGUAUCAUCACUGGCGCCAGUACCUUGGACACUUUUGCACGUAAGAAGAAAUUUUACUGUUGUUUUCAUUUGCAUUUCUCUAAUAAGGAUUAACAAUGUUUAUGUAUGUCAUUUGAAUGUCUUUUGUAGAUCAACUGUUUACAUUGUUUUUCAAAUUUUCUCCUAGUGGGUUUGUCUUUUAUUAUUGAUGAGUAAGAACUCUUUCAAUUUAUUUGUGGGAUCUAUUCCUUUAAUUUUGGGGGAAUUUAAAACAGAAAAAAAUAGAAACAAGAAUAUCAUCAUAUAACAAUAUUGUUAUAAUCAUAUUACCAAUCUUUUUUUCAGUUGUCUUUGUUGAAUGUGUCACGUGUCCAUGUUUCCUCUUGGAGGUUUAAGUAUGUUGUCAUGAGAAUGUGCUAGGAGGUUCCCAUCUUUCGCAUCUUUCGGUAUUUUAAACAGCUUCACGGAGGUGUAUGGACAGGGGUUCUUCAGGGAAACAGAACCAAUAGGCUGUGUAUGUGUCUGUGUGUGUCUGUGUGUGUGUGUGUGUCUGUGCAGUGAUGUAUCACUUAACAGUGGGAAUAUAUUCUGAGAAAUGUGUUGUUAGGCGACUUUGUUGUGUGAACAUUAUAGAUGUAGGUACUUACCCAGACCAAGAUGGUGUCACCUACUACACACCUAGGCAAUAUGGUAGGUUGAGGCUGUUGCUCCUCAGCUACAAACCUGUACAGUGUGUACUGAGUACUGUAGGUGAUUGUAACACAAUAAUAUUUAUCUAUCUAAACAUAGAAAAAGGUAGGUACAGAAAAAUAUGGUAUUGUAAUCUUUUUUUUUUUUGAGGUGGAGUCUUGCCCUGUCGCCCAGGCUGGAGUACAGUGGUGCAGUCUCGGCUCACUGCAACCUCCACCUCCCGGGUUCAAGCAAUUCUCCCUGCCUCAGCCUCCCGAGUAGUUGGGACUACAGGCACCCGCCACCACACCCGGAUAAUUUUUGUGUUUUUUUGGUAGAGACGGGGUUUCGCCAUGUUGGCCAGGCUGGUCUCAAACUCCUGACUUCAGGUGAUCCGCCCACCUUGGCCUCCCAAAGUGCUAGGAUCACAAGUGUGAGCCACCAUGCCUGGCCAGUAUUGUAAUCUUAUGGGGCUGCCAUCAUAUAUGAGGUUCAUUGUUGACUAAACAUCAUCAUUCAGCACAUGACUGUAUAUGUAGAGAGAGAGAGAGAGAGAGAGACUAUCUGGCUCAUGGAAUUGUGGGGACCCGCAGGUCUGGAACUUGCAGGGCAGGCCAACAGCUGAAGACCCAGGAAAGAGUUGAUAUUGCAGCUCAAGUCUGAAGGAUUCUAUAAGCAGAAUUUACUCUGCUGUGGGAGAUCUCCAUCUGUUUGCUCUUAAGGCCUUCAACUGAUUAGACAAGACCCACCCCCAUUAUGGCGAGUCAUGUGCUUUACUCAAAGCCUACUGAUUUAAAUGUUAAGCACAUCUAACAAAUACCUUCGCAUUAACAUCUAGACUAGUGUUUGACCAAACAACUGGUUGCUGUGGCCUAGCCAAGUUGACUCAUGAAACUAGCCAUCAUAGGAGGUGUAAUUGGCAUACAACAAACUGCAUGUAUUUAAAAUGGACAAUAUGGUAAGUUUUGACAUAUGCAGAUACCGGUGGAAACAUCACCACCGUCAAGAUAAUUAAUACAUCCAUGCCGUCACCUGCAGGUGUCCUUUGGCCCCUUGUCAGUCCUCCAUCCCAGGAAACUAUGGAUUCUAUCAUUAUACAUAGGUUAGUAUUUUCUGUAAGAUUAUAAAAAAUGGAAUUAUCCAGUAUAUGCUUUAUAUGCUUUUUUUUUUCUGACUUGGGUGACUCAGCAUAAUCAGUUUGAGAUGCAUCCACGUGACUGCAUGUAUCACAGAUAGUUCAUUCCUUUCUAUUGCUGAUCCCUUACCAUCACAUGGAUACACCAGGUGUCCAUGUACUUACCUGUGAUGGACAUUUGGGUUGUUUACUCUUUUUCCUCUUUUUUUUUUUUUUUUUUUUUUUUUUUUGAGAUGGAGUCUCACUCUGUCGCCCAGGAUGGAGUGCAGUGGCACGAUCUCGGCUCACUGAAAGCUCCGCCUCCGAGGUUCACGCCAUUCUCCUGCCACAGCCUUUCAAGCAGCUGGGACUACAGGUGCCUGCCACCACGCCCGGCUAAUUUUUUUGUAUUUUUGGUAGAGACGCUGUUUCACCGUGUUAGCCAGGAUGGUCUCGAUCUCCUGACCUCAUGAUCCGCCCGCCUCGACCUCCCAAAGUGCUGGGGUUGCAGGCGUGAGCCACCGCGCCUGGCCUGUUUACUCUUUAUACUAUUACAAAUAAACUGCUGUGAACAUUCAUGCACAAAUAUUUGUAAGAGCAGGUACUUUCUUUUUUUGUGGAUAAAUAGCAAAGGGUUGAAUGGCUGGAUCAGAUGAUAGGCAUACAUUUCACUUCUUACCGAACUGCCAAACUGCUUUCCAUUGUGAUGGGACCAUUUGACACGUGCGCCGGCCACAUGAGGGUUCUACUUCCUCUGCAUUUUGGCCGUGUCCUGGCAUGGUGGGUCUUUCUGAUUAUAGUCAUCCUAAAGGGUAAGAAGUAGUAUCUCAUAUGGCAUUAAUUUGCUUUUCUCUAAUGACUAAUCAUAUUAAGAAUUAUUUCAUGUGUUUAUAUGCAUCUUCUAUGGUGAAGUACUUACAGUUUUCAAUUUUCUUGAUUUCUGAGAUUUCUUUAUAUAUUCUAGACACAAGUCUUUAUGAGACAGAUAAUUUGCAAAUAUUUUUCCCAAUCUAUGGCUUGUCAUGUCAUUCUCCUAACUGUCAUUUAAAAAGCAUAAGUUUUUUAUUUUGAUAAAUUCCAGUUUAUCAAUUUCUUCUUCUGUGGAUUGCAUCUUUUAGUGUCAUAUUUAAGAAAUCUAUGCCUGGCCCAAGGACAUAAAAUUUUAAGGUAUAUUUACUUUUAUAAGUCUCAUAGUUUUAGGGUUUACAGUUAGAUCUGUGACUCAUCUUGAGCAAAUGUUUGUAAUGUGAGCUGUAGACACAAGUUUAAUUUUUUGCAUAUAAAUUUUCAUUUGUCUUAGCAUAAUUUGUUUGAAAUAUUAUUCUUUCUCCACUGAAUUGCUUCUGCCUCUUUGUCAGUAAUCAGUUGCCAAUAUUUGCUUGUGUCUAUUUCUGGACUCUCUAUUCUGUACCAUUGAUCUAUUUAUCUAACUUUAUGCACACUGUCUUGAUUACUAGAGCUUUAUAGUAAGUCACGAAAUCGGUUAGUGUUAGUACUCCAUUGUUUUCUAUGUAAAGAGGUUUUUUGGUGCUUCUAGAUUAUUUGCAUUUUCAUAUGAAUUUUAGAAUCCGUUUGUCAAUUCCCAUGAAUAAGCCCACUUCUACAUUUGAUUUUUCAUACUCUUGUAUUCUACAACCUUGAUAAACUCAGAUAUUAGACCUAUCAUUGUUUUUUAUUGAUUCCAUCAAAUUUUCUACAUAAACAAUUCCAACACCUGUGAAUUAAGAGUUUCAUUUUUUUCUUUCCAAUCUGGAUGAUUUUCAUUUCAUUUUCUUGUCUCAGUGCAUGGGCCAGCACUACAAGCAUAAUAAUGAUAUUAACAGUGAGAAGAGAUAUCAUUGUCGUAUUUCUUAUCUUAGCAAUAAAACUUUCAGUCUUCCACCAUUAAACAUGAUGUUAGCUGAAGAUUUUGCACAGCUGCCCUUUAGGGUUGGAAAAAUUCCUUUUCAUGCCUAGUUUUUAGAGAUCUUUUAUCAGAAAUGGGUAUUAAAAUUUCUAAAUGUCUUUUCUAAGAUCAUCAUAUCUCUCCACUCACAUUACUACUUUAGUUGUAUUUUUAUUUCCAUUCAGUUUAAAAUACUUUCUUAUUUUUCUUUUGAUUUAUUUUGACCCAUAAAUUAUUUAGAAGUGUGGUAGUCUUUAAACAUUUAGAGUAUUUUCCAGAGAUUUUCUGUUAUUUAUUUCUAAUUUAAUUUUAUGUUGGCAAAUAACAUACUUGGUGUGACUUGAAUUCUUUGAAAUAAUCUGAUACUAGUUUUAUGCCCCGAAUAUGGUCUAUAUGGGAAAUGUAUCAUAUGCACUUAGGAAGAAUAAAAACACUGCUCUUGUUUGGUGAGAUGUUUUCUAAAUCACUAUUCCAUCAAGUCAAUUGAUAGUGUCAUUCAAAUCAUCUGUUUCCUCAGUGACUGCCAAUUAUUGAGAAAGAUUCGACAUAUUUGACUGUAAUUGUGGAUUUGUCCAUUUUUUGCGGUUAAUCAGUUUUUGCUUGAAAUAUUUUGAAAUUAUGUUAUUAAGUGCGAGACCAUUUAGGGUUACUGUGCCCUCUUGAGGAGUAGAUUUUUCUAUCAUUAUAAAAUGAUCCUAUUGAUCACUGUAAGAAGUCUACUUAGUCUGAAAUUGAUAUAUUCACACCAAUAAUACAGCAUAUGUUUUUCCAUAUUUUUCCAUUUAAAAUAUUUAUGUCCUUAUUUUUGUGGUCAGCUUUGAGGAAACAAGUUGAGUCUUGAUUCUUCAUCCAGUCUCACAAUCUCUGCAUCAUAGUGGAAUAUUCAGAAAAUUUACAUUUAAUGUGAUUAUUUCUUUGCUUAGAUUUAAGUCUACCACAUUGUCAAAUAUUUUAUAUUUAUGCAACCUGUUCUUUCUUUUCCUGCUUAUUCUGGCUUCUAUGUAUUAAUUGAAUAUUUUUAUGAUUAAAUUUUGUGUUUUCUUUUUGACUUAUCUAUAACUCUUUGCUUUAUUAUACUAGUGUUUGCUUCUCAUAUGUAGCUUUACUGUGCCAUUUUGAAGGUAUAUUAUUUUGUCACUUUACUUAUAGUAUCAGUAACCCAUAUAGUUUCUAUUUUUUUGUAUCCUUAUGAUUUGGAUUAGAUCCAUUUUUCUACCUGUAUUAGUUUCCUUCUACUUGAAGGACUUCUUUUAACAUUUUUUGCAAAACAGGUCUGCUUGUAAUUAAUUCCUUCAUUUUCUGAAUCUCUCAAAAAUGUUUAUUUUGCCUUCAUUUUGAAAGAUAUUUUUUCUAGGCAUAGAAUGCUAAGUUGGCAGGUGAUUUGUUUCAGUACUUUAUUGACAUUGUGCCACUGUCUUCUCUCUUGUAUUGUUUUCAAUGAGAAAUCUGCUGUUUUUCUUGCAUUUGUUCCUCAGAAUGUCAUAUCGUUUGUAUCUGGCUGCUUCUAAGGUGUGCUUUUUUCUUUUUCUGAUUCCUAAUUUUUUUAAUUGACAAAAAUUAACAUGUUUUGACAUGUGAGAAACAACAUGUUUUCAAAUAUUUAUACAUAGUGGAAUGACUAAAUUGAGCUAAUAAUGUGCAUUACCUCACAAAAUUAUCAUUUUUGUGAUGAGAACACUUAAAAUCUACUGUGUUACCAUUUUUCGAGAAUAUGAUAUAUUGUUCUUAACUAUAGUUACCAUGUUAUACAAUAGAUACCUUGAACUUGUUCCUUUUUUACUAGCCAAAUUUUGUAUCCUUUGACCGUCAUCUUCCCAACCCCUCUAUCUUCUAACCCUCAAUCACCCCUGGUAUUCACCAUUCCGUUUGACCAUCAUGUCUCCAACACUUCUGUCCCCCAACUCUCCACUACCCCUAUUCUAAUUUCUAUUUCUAAGCAGUCAACUUUUUAAAAUUCCACAUAUAAGCAAGAUCAUGUGAAAAGAAACAACACAGUGAAGAGACAACUUACAAAAGGGGAGAAAAUGUUUACAACCAUACAUCUUAUAAGGAGUUAAUAUACAAAACAUAUAAGAAACUCAAACAACUCAGUAACAAGAAAACAAGUGACCCAGUUCAGAAAUGGGGAAAGGACCUGAAUCAGCAUUUAAAGAAGACACCUAAAUGGCCAACAGACAUAUGAAGAAAUGCCCAGAAUCACGAAUCAUCAGGGAAAUGCAAAUUAAAAUCCCAUGGAGAUGUUAUCUCACCACUAUGGUUUGGAUUUGUGUCCCCACGUAAAUCUCAUGUGAAAUUGUAAUUCCCCAUUUUGGAGGAGGGACCUGGUGGGAGGUGAUUGGAUCAUGGGGGCGGAUUUCCUUCUUGCUGUUCUCAUGAUAGUGAGUGAGUUCUCAUGAGAUCUGGUUGCUUAAAAGUGUGUAGCAACCACCUUCCUCCUGCUGUGGCCACAUAAGACGUGCUUGCCCCCCUCACCUUCCACCAUGAUUGUAAGUUUCCUGAGGCCUCCCUAGCCAUGCUUUCAUAGAGCCUGUGGAAUCAUGAGCCAAUUAAACCUCUUUUCUUUAUAAAUUA